rnacentral:rRNA from 1 species
AGAGUUUGAUCCUGGCUCAGAUUGAACGCUGGCGGCAUGCCUAACACAUGCAAGUCGAACGGAAACGAUGGGAGCUUGCUCCCAGGCGUCGAGUGGCGGACGGGUGAGUAAUACUUAGGAAUCUGCCCAGUAGUGGGGGACAACUCGGGGAAACUCGAGCUAAUACCGCAUACGCCCUACGGGGGAAAGCGGAGGAUCUUUCGGGACUUCGCGCUAUUGGAUGAGCCUAAGUCGGAUUAGCUUGUUGGUGAGGUAAAAGCUCACCAAGGCGACGAUCCGUAGCUGGUCUGAGGGGACGAUCAGCCACACUGGGACUGAGACACGGCCCAGACUCCUACGGGAGGCAGCAGUGGGGAAUAUUGGACAAUGGGGGCAACCCUGAUCCAGCAAUGCCGCGUGUGUGAAGAAGGCCUGCGGGUUGUAAAGCACUUUCAGUAGAGAAGAAAAGCUUACGGUUAAUACCCGUGAGUCUUGACGUUACCUACAGAAGAAGCUCCGCUAACU